GUUCUUGGGGUUGGACCUAAGCCAUGGGAGUCGCACAUCCCACCGCUGUGGGGUGUGGCGCACGGCUGAGUACCAUGUGGCUAACCUACCCUCGGGAUGGGGAUAACUCCGGGAAACUGGAGCUAAUACCCAAUAAGCGGGGAGGCCUGGAACGGUUCUCCGCCUAAAUGGAUGGAAGGGGGUUAACGCCUUCUAUCCGCCCGAGGAUGGGGCUGCGUCCCAUCAGGCUGUUGGCGGGGUAAUGGCCCGCCAAACCUAUAACGGGUAGGGGCCGUGAGAGCGGGAGCCCCCAGAUGGGCACUGAGACAAGGGCCCAGGCCCUACGGGGCGCACCAGGCGGGAAACCUCCGCAAUGCGGUAACCCGUGACGGGGUCACCCCGAGUGCUCUCCUUUUGGAGAGCUUUUCCCUGCUGCAGUAAGGCAGGGGUAAUAAGUGGGGGGCAAGUCUGGUGUCAGCCGCCGCGGUAAAUACAAGCAAAGC
rnacentral:rRNA from 1 species